CAACUCGCCUACAUGAAGUCGGAGUUGCUAGUAAUCGCGGAUCAGAAUGCCGCGGUGAAUGCGUUCCCGGGUCUUGUACACACCGCCCGUCACACCAUGGAAGUUGGGGGCGCCCGAAGUUGCCUAAGAAAUAAGGUACCUAAGGCGAAACCAAUGACUGGGGUGAAGUCGUAACAAGGUACC
rnacentral:rRNA from 1 species